rnacentral:lncRNA from 1 species
CGACUCAGUCUGGGGUCGGGAUCUCCAGAUCUGCUCCAGGUGGACACGCACGAAAGCAAACACCCAAGUUUGGAAA